rnacentral:rRNA from 1 species
CACGGGGGGAGCAAGCGUUGUUCGGAAUCACUGGGCGUAAAGGGCGUGUAGGCGGUCAAGUAAGUGGAAUGUGAAACGCCUCGGCUUACCCGAGGACCUGCAUCCCAAACUGCUUGGCUUGAGUAUGGGAGAGGAUGAGGGGAUUCCUGGUGUAGCGGUGAAAUGCGUAGAUAUCAGGAGGAACACCGGUGGCGAAAGCGCUCAUCUGGCCCAAUACUGACGCUGAGGCGCGAAAGCGUGGGGAGCGAACAGG